rnacentral:lncRNA from 1 species
GAAUUUCAUCAGAUUUCUCCAUAGGUUCUUCUUAUGGAAGCUUCGUUACACCCAAAUGAAGAAGAGCGACGAACAGAGAUCUGAUCUAAAAGUUUCACCGUAUUAGGGUUUGGGGACCGCAGAUCUAAAAGUUUCAACAACAAAUCUAACCUUAGGGUUGUCGAGUGGUCGGAAUGGCCAACUUAACCAGACAACCACCAUCA